UACGUAGGGGGCAAGCGUUGUCCGGAAUUAUUGGGCGUAAAGGGCGCGUAGGCGGCUCGGCACGUCCGUUGUGAAAUCGCCCGGCUCAACUGGGCGGGGUCAGCGGAUACGGCCGAGCUUGAGCAAGCUAGGGGGCAAUGGAAUUCCCGGUGUAGUGGUGGAAUGCGUAGAUAUCGGGAGGAACACCAGUGGCGAAGGCGGUUGCCUGGAGCUUUGCUGACGCUGAUGCGCGAAAGCGUGGGGAGCGAGUCGG
rnacentral:rRNA from 1 species